rnacentral:rRNA from 1 species
AGGAAUAUUGGUCAAUGGGCGGGAGCCUGAACCAGCCAAGUCGCGUGAGGGAGUAAGGCCCUACGGGUCGUAAACCUCUUUUGCCGGGGAGCAGGGCGGCGGACGUGUCCGCCGUUUGAGAGUACCCGGAGAAAAAGCAUCGGCUAACUCCGUGCCAGCAGCCGCGGUAAUACGGAGGAUGCGAGCGUUAUCCGGAUUUAUUGGGUUUAAAGGGUGCGUAGGCGGGCUUUUAAGUCAGCGGUAAAAAUUCGGGGCUCAACCCCGUCCGGCCGUUGAAACUGGGGGCCUUGAGUGGGCGAGAAGAAGGCGGAAUGCGUGGUGUAGCGGUGAAAUGCUUAGAUAUCACGAAGAACUCCGAUUGCGAAGGCAGCUCACUGGACUGUUAACUGACACUGAGGCUCGAAAGUGUGGGUAUCAAACAGG